UGUUGAUUAAAACACCUUUGUUCCAUCAGAGCUUUGGUCCCUGUGUCUUUCUUUCUUUCUCUAUCUCUCUAUAUUUCUGGCUGAUUUCCUGGAACGCGAAAGCCGGCUGCGUAACCCAGGAAAUAUUAGCCUCUCUCCUUCUUCCACUUUCUCAUUGUCGACUCUGGACCACCAGGUUCCGGUCCAUUAAAGGACCUCAACACAAGAUGAUUCCAGGGCCCACGUACUGAACUAUUAGGUAUGCUGGGAAUUGCAGCCCUCUCCCAGCUGGGUCCCAUACGUGUGGGCUUUUGCCUCAGAUUUCCUGAUCUGUAUCUCAAAUCCUUGAUGAGCUUAAAACCUUCUGUAUUAGUCAGGACUUAGUUGCAGGUGUCAGAAACUCAAAUAGAUUUAAGCACACAAGGAACUGGGUUGGUUUUCUUUGCUGAAAAGUCCAGGGGUUGUGCCGAAUUAAAGAAGGACCGAAACUAGAUGCCCUAAUGAUCAGUUCAGGAUUUUCCUUCUUUUUCUCUUUCUACUCUAUGCUCCUUUUUAUUUGUUGCAUUUUCAGGCAGGUGCUUCCACCAGUGAGGAAAGAUGGUCACCAGCAGCUCCUGGUUGGUACUUCUCUUCCUAGUUUUAGGAGCAGAUUCUUGCCCUAGUUUGAAGAGAAGCCCUUGUACUGACUCUUAUUUGUACUAACUCUGGUCAUGUGCCCACCCUGAACCAAUCACCAGGACCAUUCCUCCUGUGUUUUUCCAUUGGCAGAACUCCAUUCCCAAGUCAUGAUGAAGGCAGUGGCGGCAGCCCUCUUUGAACCACUUGGACUGGGAGAGCUGAAGGUGGAGGAGUGGUGCCACCAGUGUCUGCCCCAGCUCUUCUGGGUUGCGGCAGAGUGUGCAAUCCAGAAGGUCAAGGAAUAGCCAGUACAUCAGUCCGGAAGUAGACACCUCAAAUUAUGAUGUGUUGAGAAGUUAAUGAGGGCACUCUUCAUGGCGGGAUGUUGGUGUGUCCUCAGGUGACCCCUGCUGCAGCCGUCUUGUGACCAUAAGGAGAGAAACCAGCUACAUCCUGAGGUCGCAAAGCACAAGAUCGGCCAGCAUUUGAGUCUUUAAUGACAUCUUCCUGCCCCUGGAUUAACUAAAUGUAGAAUUUCCCCUCAUUUCUGGACCUCUAGCUAUGUAGGUUAAUAAACUUCUAUUGUUUAAUGUACUUAAAAU